rnacentral:tRNA from 1 species
ACUUGAUGCCGACUUAGCUCAGUAGGUAGAGCAACUGACUUGUAAUCAGUAGGUCACCAGUUCGAUUCCGGUAGUCGGCACCAUCAAGUC